UACGUAGGGCGCAAGCGUUGUCCGGAAUUAUUGGGCGUAAAGAGCUCGUAGGCGGUUUGUCGCGUCUGCUGUGAAAGCCCGGGGCUCAACCCCGGGUCUGCAGUGGGUACGGGCAGACUAGAGUGCAGUAGGGGAGACUGGAAUUCUGGUGUAGCGGUGAAAUGCGCAGAUAUCAGGAGGAACACCGAUGGCGAAGGAGGUCUCGUGGGCUGUUACUGACGUGAGGAGCGAAAGCAUGGGGAGCGAACAGGAUUAGAUACCCGCGUAGUCC
rnacentral:rRNA from 1 species